CGGUUCGCUGCCCGCGACGUUGUGAGAAGUCCACUGAACCUUAUCAUUUAGAGGAAGGAGAAGUCGUAACAAGGUUUCCGUAGGUGAACCUGCGGAAGGAUCAUUG
rnacentral:rRNA from 1 species